rnacentral:rRNA from 1 species
GAUGAACGCUAGCGGCAGGCUUAACACAUGCAAGUCGAGGGGCAGCAUAAUGGAUAGCAAUAUCUAUGGUGGCGACCGGCGCACGGGUGCGUAACGCGUAUGCAACCUACCUUUAACAGGGGGAUAACACUGAGAAAUUGGUACUAAUACCCCAUAAUAUCAUAGAAGGCAUCUUUUAUGGUUGAAAAUUCCGAUGGUUAGAGAUGGGCAUGCGUUGUAUUAGCUAGUUGGUGGGGUAACGGCUCACCAAGGCGACGAUACAUAGGGGGACUGAGAGGUUAACCCCCCACACUGGUACUGAGACACGGACCAGACUCCUACGGGAGGCAGCAGUGAGGAAGAUCGGUCAAUGGACGCAAGUCUGAACCAGCCAUGCCGCGUGCAGGAUGACGGCUCUAUGAGUUGUAAACUGCUUUUGUACGAGGGUAAACGCAGAUACGUGUAUCUGUCUGAAAGUAUCGUACGAAUAAGGAUCGGCUAACUCCGUG